AGCAUCGCGUGCUAUACUGCAGUCGAGCGAACUGAUUAAAGCUUGCUUCUAUGACGUUAGCGGCGGACGGGUGAGUAACACGUGGGCAACCUGCCUGUAAGACUGGGAUAACUUCGGGAAACCGAAGCUAAUACCGGAUAGGAUCUUCUCCUUCAUGGGAGAUGAUUGAAAGAUGGUUUCGGCUAUCACUUACAGAUGGGCCCGCGGUGCAUUAGCUAGUUGGUGAGGUAACGGCUCACCAAGGCAACGAUGCAUAGCCGACCUGAGAGGGUGAUCGGCCACACUGGGACUGAGACACGGCCCAGACUCCUACGGGAGGCAGCAGUAGGGAAUCUUCCGCAAUGGACGAAAGUCUGACGGAGCAACGCCGCGUGAGUGAUGAAGGCUUUCGGGUCGUAAAACUCUGUUGUUAGGGAAGAACAAGUACGAGAGUAACUGCUCGUACCUUGACGGUACCUAACCAGAAAGCCACGGCUAACUACGUGCCAGCAGCCGCGGUAAUACGUAGGUGGCAAGCGUUAUCCGGAAUUAUUGGGCGUAAAGCGCGCGCAGGCGGUUUCUUAAGUCUGAUGUGAAAGCCCACGGCUCAACCGUGGAGGGUCAUUGGAAACUGGGGAACUUGAGUGCAGAAGAGAAAAGCGGAAUUCCACGUGUAGCGGUGAAAUGCGUAGAGAUGUGGAGGAACACCAGUGGCGAAGGCGGCUUUUUGGUCUGUAACUGACGCUGAGGCGCGAAAGCGUGGGGAGCAAACAGGAUUAGAUACCCUGGUAGUCCACGCCGUAAACGAUGAGUGCUAAGUGUUAGAGGGUUUCCGCCCUUUAGUGCUGCAGCUAACGCAUUAAGCACUCCGCCUGGGGAGUACGGUCGCAAGACUGAAACUCAAAGGAAUUAGACGGGGGGCCCGCACAAGCGGUGGAGCAUGUGGUUUUAAUUCGAAGCAACGCGAAGAAACUUACCACGUCCUUGACAUCCUCUGACACUCUAGAGAUAGAGCGUUCCCCUUCGCGACAGAGUGACAAGUGGUGGCAUGGUUGUCGUCGUCCUCCUGACGAUAAGAU
rnacentral:rRNA from 1 species